CCCUUAGAUGUUCUGGGCUGCACGCGCGCUACACUGAUGCAUCCAACAAGUUUUUUCCUUGUUCGAGAGGACUAGGUAAUCUUAUGAGAAUGCAUCGUGAUGGGGAUAGAUUAUUGCAAUUAUUAAUCUUCAACGAGGAAUUCCUAGUAAGCGCGAGUCAUCAGCUCGUGCUGAUUACGUCCCUGCCCUUUGUACACACCGCCCGUCGCUACUACUGAUUGGACGUUUAAGCAAGAUUUUUAAACACUGACAGUUAAUGGCUUCGGCCAAGACACAGUGAGAAGAAGAAGAUCGAGCUUACUUGUCUAGAGGAAGUAAAAGUCGUAACA
rnacentral:rRNA from 1 species